GUCCACGCCGUAAACGAUGGGUACUAGGCGUCGGGGGAGCGACCCCCUCGGUGCCGUCGCUAACGCAGUAAGUACCCCGCCUGGGGAGUACGGUCGCAAGACUGAAACUCAAAGGAAUUGACGGGGGCCCGCACAAGCGGUGGAGCAUGUGGUUUAAUUCGAAGCAACGCGAAGAACCUUACCUGGGCUUGACAUGCACGGGAAAGCCGGUGGAAACAUCGGCCCCUCUUCGGAGCUCGUGCACAGGUGCUGCAUGGCUGUCGU
rnacentral:rRNA from 1 species